GGUCGGCAGUGUGGACUGGCUGGUCACGAUCGUGGGGACCAGGGACUUAUUCCCUCGAGGGUCGAUUGUUGGAAGUAAUUACAGAUUUUCAUCCAUUCAACAGAAGCUUAUGGACUGCCUUUUUAGUUUAUUUUUAAAGAAUUCUUCUAGCUUUAAAUAAAAAUUGUAUGUAUUUACAGUG